AUUGAACGCUGGCGGCAGGCCUAACACAUGCAAGUCGAACGAGUGGCGGACGGGUGAGUAAUGUCUGGGAAACUGCCUGAUGGAGGGGGAUAACUACUGGAAACGGUAGCUAAUACCGCAUACCAUCGGAUGUGCCCAGAGGGGAUUAGCUAGUAGGUGGGGUAAAGGCUCACCUAGGCGACGAUCCCUAGCUGGUCUGCGAGGAUGAACAGCCACAAUGGAACGUAGACACGGUCCAGACUCCUACGUGAGGCAGCAGUGGGGAAUAUUGCACAAUGGGCGAAAGCCUGAUGUAGCCAUGCCGCGUGUAUGAAGAAGGCCUUCGGGUUGUAAAGUACUUUCAGCGGGGAGGCGUUACCCGCAGAAGAAGCACCGGCUAACUCCGUGCCAGCAGCCGCGGUAAUAC
rnacentral:rRNA from 1 species